AUGUGUUUAGUUAGUUUGAUAAUUGUAUUAGUUCACUCCUUAAGUUUGCUGGAGUCUCUUGAUUUUCCUUUCAGAACAUUCUUAUGGCUAAUGCAUUUACUGUUUUCUCUCUGGUGUCUUUUCCUUCCCAAUGUUUUUUUAUCGAUGUUUUGCCUGAAAAUAGUCCCUUGGUUAAGGUUCUCAGUCUUGGUUUAUUUGAAAGAUUUAUCAUGUUGGGAAUUGAUUAACUUGGCCCUGUCACAGGGAUCUAAACUGACUGAUGUUGAUGCUGAUGCUUCUGCCACUGCACCUGCUGAGACCGUGGACACUACGGUUGCUGAGACAACUAAGCUUUAG
rnacentral:rRNA from 1 species